rnacentral:pre_miRNA from 1 species
AUGGUACUCCCUCCGUUCGGGAUUACUCAUCUAAGAAAUGAAUGUAUCUAGAUGUAUUUUAGUUGUAGAUAUAUCAUUUUUAUGACAAGUAAUUCCGAACGGAGGGAGUACUAA